rnacentral:lncRNA from 1 species
AUUAGUGAUAUAAUUGUUUUUUUUGAGAGAGAGAUAGCUAGGUAGCGCGUACGCUACCCGUUUCGUUUAUUUUAUUUAGAAAUAAAUUUAGUUGAAAAUGUGAAUCAAUUAGGAUUCGAAUUUGGAACCUCGGGUACCAACCACCAAACCCUUUGCCACUUGCUUUAGGGACAGUCGGUAUUAGUGAUAUAAUUGUUAAUGAAUAUAAAUGAUCACUAGCUAGCUUUGUUUUAUUAUUAUUAUUAUUAUUAUUAUUAU